rnacentral:piRNA from 1 species
AGAAGUGAAGAAAUGGGAUGAUGA